AAUGAACGCUGGCGGCGCGCCUAAUACAUGCAAGUCGAGCGAGAAGACGUAGCAAUACGUUUGUAAAGCGGCGAGCGGGUGAGGAAUACAUGGGUAACCUACCCUCGAGUGGGGAAUAACUAGCCGAAAGGUUAGCUAAUACCGCGUACGCUUCUUGGACUUCGGUUCAGGGAGGAAAGCGAUGCCGAGGGUAUCGCGCUCUUGGAUGGGCUCAUGUCCUAUCAGCUUGGGUGAGGUAACGGCUCACCAAGGCUUCGACGGGUAGCUGGUCUGAGAGGACGAUCAGCCACACUGGCACUGCGACACGGGCCAGACUCCUACGGGAGGCAGCAGUAAGGAAUAUUGCGCAAUGGGCGAAAGCCUGACGCAGCGACGCCGCGUGGGGGAUGAAGGUCUUCGGAUU
rnacentral:rRNA from 1 species